rnacentral:misc_RNA from 1 species
CAAGAAGCCCGAAAGGCUACUUAAAACCAUCGCGAACUUAUCCAAGUUGCUUCGGCGGGCGCGGCUCCCCUCACGGGGGACCGCAAGCCCCCGCCUCUCAGGAGGUAAGGGGCAGCCGCCGGAGGUACGAAACUCUGUAUUAUAGUGGUAUCUCUGAGUAUAAAACAAAUAAGUUAA